rnacentral:rRNA from 1 species
UACGGGGGGAGCAAGCGUUGUUCGGAUUUACUGGGCGUAAAGGGCGCGUAGGCGGUCGUGACAAGUCACUUGUGAAAUCUCCGGGCUUAACUCGGAACGGUCAAGUGAUACUGUCGGACUAGAGUACAGAAGGGGCAACUGGAAUUCUCGGUGUAGCGGUGAAAUGCGUAGAUAUCGAGAGGAACACCUGCGGCGAAGGCGGGUUGCUGGGCUGAUACUGACGCUGAGGCGCGAAAGCGUGGGGGAGCGAACAGG